rnacentral:rRNA from 1 species
UCUAAACCUUUCUUGAGAUCCUAGUGAGCGUUUUCGUUGGAUAAGACUAAAAUAUUUAAUUUUUUUGUCAUUAAAGAUGAAUAAUUAAUGUAAUUCSAACSAAUAUACACGGAAAUCGAGGAUUUUAAGGGAUUAAGGUAUCUGUUUUUACCCAUCUGCGCAUUAAGAAACCAUUUUUGCGACAAUUUUGAUGUUUAUUUGAAAAUUUGUCGUGCAAUUCACCAUGAAAUCAUUUGAAAAGUUAAAAAAAGUUUUUAAAACUAGAUCCUUUUUUCCAAUUAGUUUCUUUAUUAGUUUUUGACGUAUACAUAGAUAAAGCUUUCGCAAAAUGAGUUAUAUACAAAUAGUGUGCGAAUG